UAUUCUAAUCUCCUGCAUCCAGCACAAUUGUGUGUGAGUUCAAGCUUUUGCAACCUUGGGGACUUUGUGUCCCUUUUACCAAUCACAGAGGCUUUCCUUUAUGAUUCUGAAGCAAAUGGAAAACAAUUUAUCAUUUAUCCUCAAAGAUGCAAAAUGCUAAAAUCUUCAUCUUGGGUUGAAGACUGGGACCCACUGGGCUAGCACCUUGGAAAUGAGGAGGGCGCAGCAAGCAGCAGGCACCUGGAGGCCAAGCAGGGAGACAGGAAGGAGCCUGAAAUGUGAAGGCUGUGGAAGGUCCCGCCCCUUGGCUUGGCCCCAAGGCUCUGUCACGGCUUCGCAGUGUGUGUGUAGUAAAGAAGUUAAUUUGCUCUGGACGCAUUCUGUUGACUCCUGCAAUCAAGUCCAACUUAAUUAAUUCACCAGCAGUGAAUGGCUGCCCUUGUUUGCUCACAGGUGUGGAUCUGAAGGACACCCCUAACAGUCAUCGUGUACUUUAAACUUGUCUCAACGCCUGCAGCCAAGAGAAGUCGGAGUGUAGGUGCGGUCUGAGAAAGCAGGCUGGAAGGCUCUUAGCCAGCACCGUCAUCUGAGGGCUUGCGGCGUGUAUGAUUCACCAGCACACCACGUCAGACCCAGGGACCCAACUUACUGCAGUGGCGGUGCAGGGACGAGCCCACAGUCACAGGUUCACUGAUUCCGUCAUAUGCGGUGCCACGAGAAGCUGCUGGCCCGACAGGGUGUCGGAAUGGCCUUCUGACGGCCCACUUGAGGUGUCAACUUGAAGGCAAUCGUUUAUGAGGAGUGGGCUCAUCUUCCCGGGUGCUGUGUACACCUUGACUCAAAGACCUUUCUGUGUGUUGUGUCCUCAGUAGGAAGAAUGCAUGGUUCUAGAAACCCGGGUGGAAGCAAGAGGGACCUAUU